UACGGAGGAUGCAAGCGUUAUCCGGAUUUAUUGGGUUUAAAGGGUGCGUAGGCGGAAUAAUAAGUCAGUGGUGAAAUCUUGCGGCUUAACCGUAAAAUUGCCAUUGAUACUGCUAUUCUUGAGUGCAGUUGAGGUAGGCGGAAUGUGUAAUGUAGCGGUGAAAUGCUUAGAUAUUACACAGAACACCGAUUGCGUAGGCAGCUUACUAAACUGUAACUGACGCUGAGGCACGAAAGCGUGGGGAGCAAAC
rnacentral:rRNA from 1 species